rnacentral:rRNA from 1 species
AACAGCAGCCAUAUCACCCUGCAACUCACAACUGACAGCCCCCUGAUGUUAAGCAGGUGUGAUUCUGGUCAGUACCUGGAUGGGAGACUUCCUGGGAAAAAAUAGGGUUGCUUCUG